rnacentral:rRNA from 1 species
UACGUAGGGUGCAAGCGUUGUCCGGAAUUAUUGGGCGUAAAGAGCUCGUAGGCGGUUUGUUGCGUCGGCUGUGAAAUCCCGAGGCUCAACCUCGGGUCUGCAGUCGAUACGAGCAAACUAGAGUGUUGCAGGGGAGACUGGGAAUUCCUGGUGUAGCGGUGAAAUGACGCAGAUAUCGGGAGGAACACCGGUGGCGAAGGCGGUUCUCUGGGCCUUACCUGACGCUGAGGAGCGAAAGCGUGGGGAGCGAACAGG